GGUCCUUGUGGAAAAGUGCAGUAACAACAGUAUAAGAAACUCAAUAGAAAACCACAUUUUCUGUUGUUUGAUUCAAAGUUUUGAAAACAUUAUAAUGGCCUUAUAAAAACCAUAAUCUCUUUUACUGCUGCUCUUAAAGCUAACAAGAGGGAGAGGAUGAAAUUACUGUGUAUGCAUUUGCAGUUUUAUUCUCCAGAAACUACUCUGAAGAAAACAUAUAGCGACCAGUGGAAGAGGAUAAUGACAUCACUCUAUAGAAAGAAGAUAAUGGGUCUGGACACAAAAAAAUUCCAGUACAAUUUGGACAGCAGACCCCAUCAGAAUAUCUUGAAAUCUAAAAACCUGACCCAACAAAGCAUUUCUGAACCUGCUGUAUAUUAAGCAGACAAGUAAUCUGAUGUAUUCUACUGGACCUAUUAACACUUGAACAAAAAACUUGAAUUUUUUAUUUUAAUUUUUUUUUUUUUUAAAUAAGGUAUGCCACGUUUCUACAUUAGGCAACAGUUGAUGCAAAGCACCUCUGCUAAGACCCUGGAGGCCAUGGAACCUGACCCUGAAAAGGCAAGUUUAAAUGCAGACAUAUCAAGAGAUAUUUUAAUUGAAUAAUAAAUGCAGAAAAUAUAACACCAAAUUUGGGGAUUUUUUUUUUCUGUUUCAUUAGAAAGAAUGAUAAUACAUUUUUUUUGAAGGUAGGAACUUUUUUUGUUUCGUACAACCUUCCUAUGGUCAAAAUUGGCUUAUGCAAAAGAAGUUAUAAAGUUUGCAUGAAAGCCUGAACUUUUCCAGCCUUCUUAUGCUUGCUUGAGUGACAGAAUGAUAUUAUUCUGAAGGUUGCACAGUGACUCUUUGAUCUUAAAGCUUGUAAAGGCCGUCUCGCAUCUGCGUGUUCUAAUAUUCCCUGAUAAUCUGACUUGAACUUCAAGGCUUAUAAGACCUUGGAUCAGUGAUUUGCAAUUCAAGUGCCUCGGAAA